rnacentral:rRNA from 1 species
AGUGAACGCUGGCGGUAGGCCUAACACAUGCAAGUCGAACGGCAGCACAGUAAGAGCUUGCUCUUACGGGUGGCGAGUGGCGGACGGGUGAGGAAUACAUCGGAAUCUACUUUUUCGUGGGGGAUAACGUAGGGAAACUUACGCUAAUACCGCAUACGACCUACGGGUGAAAGCAGGGGAUCUUCGGACCUUACGCGAUUGAAUGAGCCGAUGUCGGAUUAGCUAGUUGGCGGGGUAAAGGCCCACCAAGGCGGCGAUCCGUAGCUGGUCUGAGAGGAUGAUCAGCCACACUGGAACUGAGACACGGUCCAGACUCCUACGGGAGGCAGCAGUGGGGAAUAUUGGACAAUGGGCGCAAGCCUGAUCCAGCCAUACCGCGUGGGUGAAGAAGGCCUUCGGGUUGUAAAGCCCUUUUGUUGGGAAAGAAAAGCAGCAGGUUAAUACCCCGCUGUUCUGACGGUACCCAAAGAAUAAGCACCGGCUAACUUCGUG